AUGAUGCAUUUGGUCAGUGCAUCUUCUAAACUAGUAUUCGAUUCCAGAGGUGAGGAAGUAGUCAGCUUUGCAUCACUGGUUGGCUCUUGGAAAGAGAGGUCCAGAAUGUCUGACGCUUUGAGGCAAAUGAUGGUAAAUUGCCCAGUGAAACCACAGGUACAGUUAGAUAUUGUCUCUGAUUUUUUGCUAUGUUGGAACAAAGUAGUGUUAGUAAGAGCUCCUUUGACCUUGGAUUUAUAUUUCUUGAAUAUUUGCAUAGCCUACAAAAGGAGAGAACAGAAGUAAGAAAGAAGAGAUGAGAGAGGAAACUUAGCAGUGACACAGAGGAAAGGAAACUGGUGAUGAAAAGCAACACAAGGAGGAGGAAUGGCCAUGGAAGAGAAAGGAAACUCAGCCUUCAGAAGUGGGGGAAAGACAAAAAGAGUGAAGAAAGAAGCAAGGAAAUACAAGGGAACAGUAAGGAAAGUAAUUAUGUUGUAUUGCCAAAACACAUUCAAGUAUCAUGGUGUUGGGCAGAUGCCUCUGGCAAAUUUAUUGGGGCAUUCAGAUACUCAUCUUGCUUCUGAUCUUUGACCCUUCUUUCUCCUUCCCUCAUUGUCUGUUUAUAUAGCCAGGGAAGGAAAAGGUUAAGAUGCCACUCCAGACCUGGGACAUGGGUCAUGUUGCUUAUUUUGCCCCUGAAGCAAGAAUAGGAAGGUAAGGAGGUCUUGUGAAAUCUGUACCACCACUAAACAUCCUGGACCAGGAAGGUGAAGAUUUGGUGGUGUCUCUCUUCCAGUCUCCUUUUCCCAGAGUUGGUUUCUCAAAGCCACGUACCUUCCAAUAACGUUCCUGUAUCUCAGGCUCUGUGGGAGUGAGGAACAUUCUCUGAACCAGUGCAUGGGAAAGCAUUCCUGCCCCAAGGACCUUCCCCUUAUUUUCUAUGAGUGAAUAUCUGUGCAUUGUGGUGCUACUCCAUAUCUAGCAAAAGGUAGUGAUGGCAAGAGGAAUGCAGUCUGAUUUAAGUACAGGUUGUGAUCAUCCAAACCCUGCACCAUAAAAAUCAGUCCUCAGGAACAGGAGUAUUAGAACAUGGCAAAAAGUGCUUUCUAAAAUCCUGCAGAUGACUUACCAGGAAGUAAAAGAAAAAAAAAACUGGCAUUUCUAACAUUCAUUUGCAAUCUUGUUUUUUCAAGGUCCUGUAAAUGUUGAAUAAUAACUGACUGUGCAUGUGUUGCAUAAAGCCUGACGCUUCAAGGUGAAUGAUGGUAAAAUGCCCAGUGAUGCCACAGGUACCGUUAGAUCUUGUCUCUGUUUUUAGUUUGUUUUGUUUUGUGUUGUGUUGGAACAUAGCCUCCCUUACCCUGGAAUAAUGAUGUGAUACCAGAAUUAUGGAUUAAACAUGGGCCACACUUUAUUGAAAUAAUCAAUGUUGCCAAUCCUUUGGCAAAGAGGGGUCUUGCCGUAGUGCAGAAUCAGGUUUAAACCCAGAGGUCUGAACGGACCCUUUAUCAAACAAAUGGACGAGUCUCUGGCCCAAGUUUUCACAGCCAUGAAGACAGCAAGAAACCUGGCUGGCCCAAAUUUGAGCACCCCCAGACCUCAAGCCACCCUCUCCUUGUUGACUGUUGGUCCAGGUGUGGUCCGAGUGCAUCUUCCCCUCCCCCAAGCACUGUAAUCGCACGAUCCACAGCACUGGGAGUUCAGAUGAGCUAUACCUUACCUGAGAUUGUGAUGGGACUCACGAAAAAAAUCUCUUUUUUCUGCACUACCUGCCACAGCAUUCAGACUAGCCAUGCUAAGUCCCAUGCCCACCAUUGAGCUCACCAAGCUGCAAAAGCAGGGGGCGCUCCUUGAUUUUGUCAAAGAAGACAUCUAAACCUCAUUCAGAUAGAUGUAUGCCAUCUGACCAGAAAAAUCAGGCCUAUCCAUGCGGAUCCUUUGGUAACUGUGACGGCUGCGAUGACGUCACCUGCCUAUCAAUGUUAUGCUGGAGCUCAUCUGCCUAUAGCAGGGCAGGAGGUGGGAUUCCUGGAGGUGGAGCUAUGUAUAUAAGGGGGGAGUGAAUGAUGUGAGGGAAAAGGAGCUAAGAUGAGAAGAGAGAGAUAGGAACCAGAGAAGGGGAGUUUCAGUUGGAGUUAGGGCAUGUAUGUUAUGAAGUACUGUGUUAGAUAAGGUCUGAGUGAUAGAGUGAUUGAAGGGAUUCUUUAUUUUAUUGAUUGACUUAUUCAGUUCAUACAUUGAUUUGCUAUAUAUUAAGUUGUACCAAUAAACAAUAAUUUUUAUUUUUAAAAUCCA
ensembl:lncRNA